rnacentral:lncRNA from 1 species
CGGGGAGGGCUUACGUUCCCCGUGUGAGGCCUUGCGCCGUUCGUUUUGGGGUCCCCUUUCCAUGACUUUCACGUGCACGGGGACCCAUCCGUAGCUCCAAAACUGCCUUGGAUAGUUUCUCAUAUGUGUCAGGCUUCUGCCCAAGUACGUCCCACUCCCAUUAAAACAGUCACCAUAUUUAUCCUUACCCCUGAACUUAGUGCUUGUGGCAUCAGCAUGACGACCGGUGCAUGGGUGGCGAUUGACAAGCUCACACCGGGGGAGGGGCCAUCAUGUAUGAUAUUUACAAGUAGCGACCAAAGUGAAAUAAUAAACAGACGCCCUAGCGAAGCAAGAGCGACGCUAAUAUCAAUGUAUACAUUUAAUAGAGCCAAAGCACAGCCUUAUAGCUGAUCACCACUACAUAUCACAAUCUUCAACGUGGCUGCUGUAGGAAGAGGUUUAGGAUGCAUGCGGGGGGUUAAUGGAGAUACCAAGAAGAAGCGUCACGAAGCUACGAAAUAAACCUCAGCUCCUCAGCGCGCCAAGCAAACCAUCAUAAGUUGUUGCUGACAACACCGAUUGUACGCCGCAUCUAGCUACCCAUGCAUACAUGCAAACCGGACAGGUAGAGAACUAUUAUUGUUGCGUAUUAUGUACAUAUUAACUAUAGGUUUUCUGAAUGAAACGAAAGAAAACCAAGGUGUUUUGUGUAUUUGCCGAGAGUGUACUCGGUUGGAUGUCGUUGCAGAGGGUUGCAAAAACGGUCUAAUCCCCCAAUCCCGGGGGGUGGUAGUGGUCAGCCAUCCCCCCAUCCUGGCUGGGGUGACCGACUCCCAUCUCACAUCUUAGGGGCCCGGUGCUAAUCCCAUCCCUUGAGACAGGUUUCCCAUCCUGCCAGCCUGGGUCCCAUCCCCAAUCCUAUGGCCAGGGUUUCCAAUCCCAUCCUGCAGCUGUGUUCCCCCAAUCCUCAUCCUGCCAGCCAGGGUCCCUUCCCAAUCCCUUCGACCAGGGCCAUCCCCAUCCUGCAGCUGUGUUCAGAUCCGAAAGCUGUCAGCCAGGGUCCCAUCCCCAUCCCUUGCCAGCUACAAACCUACUCCUUACGUUUACACAGGUGCUGUAAUAUCGGCUUUCUCUUUAGGCGUAAAUCAGGGGAAUGACCAGGGUUAUUUUCUAUUUCCGCGAGAUAUUUUUCUCUUGCUCUAUGGCUUAUUUCCUCUAGCGUCAAAUUCCGCCCGGCUGUGUUCGUUCCGAAGCAGACUGAAGCGACAAACGCUCGUUGAAGCGGAUCUCGACUGAGGAAGAACUCGCAUCACAGAGGUCUACAUAUCUAAUUGCACACUGGCUGCUAUUGCAAAUCGCGC